rnacentral:tRNA from 1 species
ACGUAGCUCAGUUGGUUAGAGCGUCGGAUUGUGGUUCCGAAGGUCGCGGGUUCGAACCCCGUCGUUCGCCC